CCUACGGGAGGCAGCAGUGGGGAAUCUUGGACAAAGCAGGCAACCCUGAUCCAGCCAUGCCGCGUGWGCGAUGAAGGCCUUCGGGUUGUAAAGCACUUUUGGCAGGGAAGAAACGGCUCUGGAUAAUACCUGGGCAACUGACAGCACCAGGACAAUAAGCACCGGUAAACUACAUGCCAGCAGCCGCGGUAAU
rnacentral:rRNA from 1 species